GCAAGUCGAACGAUGAAAUUCCAGCUUGCUGGAAUGGAUUAGUGGCGGACGGGUGCGUAACGCGUGGGAAUCUACCUUGUAGUGGGGGAUAGCCCGGAGAAAUCCGGAUUAACACCGCAUAAUCUCUACGGAGGAAAAGGGGCCUCUUCUUGAAAGCUCCUGCUAUUAGAUGAGCCCGCGUUAGAUUAGCUAGUUGGUGAGGUAAUGGCUCACCAAGGCGACGAUCAGUAGCUGGUCUGAGAGGAUGGAC
rnacentral:rRNA from 1 species